rnacentral:rRNA from 1 species
AGAUUGAACGCUGGCGGCAUGCCUAACACAUGCAAGUCGAACGGCAGCGCGGGUAGCAAUACCUGGCGGCGAGUGGCGGACGGGUGAGGAAUACAUAGGAAUCUACCCUGUCGUGGGGGAUAACGUAGGGAAACUUACGCUAAUACCGCAUACGACCGAGAGGUGAAAGCGGCGGACCGCAAGGCGUCGCGCGGCUGGAUAAGCCUAUGUCCGAUUAGCUAGUUGGCGGGGUAAGAGCCCACCAAGGCGACGAUCGGUAGCUGGUCUGAGAGGAUGAUCAGCACACUGGGACUGAGACACGGCCCAGACUCCUACGGGAGCAGCAGUGGGAAUAUUGGACAAUGGGCGCAAGCCUGAUCCAGCAAUGCCGCGUGUGUGAAGAAGGCCUUGGUUGUAAAGCAUUUAGUACGGAAGAAAGUACCGUAGGUUAAGUACCCGAUGGUAGUAGUACGACGGUAACCCGUAAG